GACGUAGGGUGCGAGCGUUGUCCGGAAUUAUUGGGCGUAAAGAGCUCGUAGGCGGUGUGUCGCGUCGGCCGUGAAAACCUGCAGCUUAACUGUGGGCGUGCGGUCGAUACGGGCAUCACUGGAGUUCGGCAGGGGAGACUGGAAUUCCUGGUGUAGCGGUGAAAUGCGCAGAUAUCAGGAGGAACACCGGUGGCGAAGGCGGGUCUCUGGGCCGAUACUGACGCUGAGGAGCGAAAGCGUGGGGAGCGAACAGG
rnacentral:rRNA from 1 species